rnacentral:rRNA from 1 species
AUAUCAAUAAGCGGAGGAAAAGAAACCAACAGGGAUUGCCUUAGUAGCGGCGAGUGAAGCGGCAAAAGCUCAAAUUUGAAAUCUGCCAGUAAUGGUCGAAUUGUAAUUUGAAGAUGGUAACUCAGGUUGUGGCCUUGCUCAAGUUCCUUGGAAUAGGACAUCAUGGAGGGUGAGAAUCCCGUGAGGCGAGGGUCCCAUAACUGUGUUGAGUGCUGUCAACGAGUCGAGUUGUUUGGGAAUGCAGCUCUAAGUGGGUGGUAAAUUCCAUCUAAAGCUAAAUAUUGGCGAGAGACCGAUAGCGAACAAGUACUGUGAAGGAAAGAUGAAAAGAACUUUGAAAAGAGAGUGAAAAAGUACGUGAAAUUGUUGAAAUGGAAGGGCUUGAAGCCAGACAUGGUGUUUAACGCUCCACUGUUCUUUGGAACUGUGUACUCGUUUUCCACUGGGUCAGCAUCAGUUUUGGCGGCAGGAUAAAGUGCAAGGAAUGUAGCAACUUUGUUGUAUUAUAGCCUUGCUCAAUACUGCCAGCCGGGACUGAGGACUGCAUUUUCAGGAUGCUGGCGUAAUGGCUUUAAGCCAC